rnacentral:lncRNA from 10 species
GUCUGUAGUGCUUUCCUGUUUCAUUCCUGACAUUGGAACUGUGAAGACUAGAGUGACCUUGGAGAUCUCAUCUGGAAGAUGGUAGAACUGCUAUCAGCCUGGCUUCCCAAAUGACCUCCUGGAUCACAGCUACCCAUGGCCUGAAAUGUUGACCUUGGAGUUGUUGCAUAGGAAAGAAAUAAACUUCUUUGUUCUUUGAGCCACAUAGUUAUCACAUAUCUUCUUAAAGCCACUUACCCACUUGUUCUAUCUCAUUCAGCUCUGAAAUUCUGUUUAAUUUCUAGAGUCAAAACAUUCAUUUGUUUCUUCUUUAUUUAACAAGAAUCAAUUACUUAUUUUAUGGAAGCCACUAUUCCAAAGAGAAGAAUCAUAAAAACAUUAGCCUUAUGGAUCUUUUGUCCUGGGAACAACACAGAGUGGAGACUACUGGAAUUUUUAAUAAAGUUCCUUUCCUGGGCAGUGCCAGUCCAGACCUAAUUUCCAGACUUAGUUAAGAUUAGACCAGUGUGCUGAAGAAUCAAAACAUCUAGAUAUUUUCCUUGCUCCAUUCUGCUUACAGCCCCACAAAAACUACUCACCCCACAGGGUUUCUUGCUUGAGAUUCCAGACAAUUCCUGUAUGUUUUAUUAGAAUACACUCUGUGUUUCAUCCAACUAGGAAGCCUUUGGCUCCGACUUAAAGCAUUAAGAACGGACCACUUUGGUAUGGAAAAUUAUCAGUUUUGGGGGAAAAGCCCCUGUUUCUCUGAUCUGUGCUCUGAAUUUGGCAGCUUUGUAGGCUUUCUCAAAGAGCCGCAACUGUGAACCAUGUCAUGUUGUCAUUAUCUCUGAUAUGCUCUGUGCAUUGGAAAUCCUGUGUGAGACUGGCAGGGGACAGAGGGAAUGAAGAAAUCACAUUCAUCAGAACAAGCUGCUCAACUUCCUUAAGUAAGGAGUUUGUCUAACAUCCAGUGGUUUCCUCUGACAGAGUGUGUACUUUCUUAACAUACGGACAAGAUUAGUACAUAGCCAGAAUGACUGUCUGCAGGUCCUAGGCUGCUUUUCAGAGGCAGCUUUAAUCUUCCUAAUUGAAUAUUUAGCUUUUCUAGGCCUGCACAAAAUGUAAAUCACAAUGUUUACAAUCUGUGAAAUAAUAGGAGAGUACAUAAUGUCAUUGCAAUAUUUUGUAAUCACUGUUAAAUGACUAAAAUCUAUUAAACUCAAUCAUUUUAAAUUAAACUUCUAAACUUCCCCAUUGCAGGUGAUGGCAACUCCAUUUUUACAAUCGCUUAGGCCAAAAAAACUUGACGUCAUCCUUGACUCUUCUUUCUCUCUCAUCUCACAAGCAAUUCAUCAGAAAAUCCUGUCAGCUCUGCUUUCAAAAUUUAACCAGAAUCUGAUUCCUUUGCAUCACCUCCACUGCUACCACUCUGGUGGAGCUGCCAACAUCUGUCACAUAGAUUAAGUCACACACACACACAUGCACACACACACAGAGUGUAUUCUCAGUCAAAGUGAUCUUUUUAAAAGGGAAAUAAGGCCAUUCUACUCCUCUGUUCAAAACUUUCAAAUGGCUCUCCACUUUUCUCUGAAUAUAAGCUCAAAUCCAUACAAGGACUUGUAGAGCCCCCGUUACCUUCUGACCUCAUUGCCUCCUACUCUGAUCUCUUAUGCAGAUCCUGCCCCAGUGGCUUCCUUGUUGCUCCUGGGUCACAUAAGGAAUGCUCUUGUUAUUUGUUCCAACUCUUUCUCAGUGCCCUCUCCUUGAUGUCUGCUUGGAUAUCUCCCUCACCUUCUUUAAUUGGACCUCUACCUUUCACCAUAUACAAAAAUUAACUCGAGAUGAAUUAAAGAUUUAAAUGUAAGACCUCAAACUCUAUAAAUUACAGAAGAAAAUCUGGGAAAUUCCCUUCUCAAUGUCAGCCUUGGCAAAGAAUUGAUGGGUAAGUCCUCAAAAGCAAUUGCAACAAAAAAAUUGACAUGUGGGACCUAAUUAAACUAAAGAGGUUUUGCGCAGCAAAAGAAACUAGCAACAAGUAAACAACCUAUAGAAUGGGAGAAAAUAUUUGCAAGCUAUGCAUCCAACAAAGGUCUAAUAUCCAGAAUCUAUAAGGAACUUAAAUCAACAAGCAAAAAACAACCCCAUUAAAAAGUGGACAAAGGACAUGAACAGACAGUUCUCAAAAGAAGACAUAUAAGCAGCCAACAAACAUGAAAAAAUGCUCACCAUUGCUAAUCAUCAGAGAAAAGCAAAUUAAAACCAUAAUGAGAUAUCAUCUCACAUCAGCCAGAAUGGCUAUUAUUAAAAAGCCAAAAAAUAACAGAUGCUGUCAAGACUACAGAAAACAGGGGACACUUACACACUUUGGGUGGGAAUGUAAAUUAGUUCAGCCACGGUGGAAAGCAGUUUGGAGAUUUCUCAAAUAACUUAGAACUACCAUUUGACCCAGCAAUCCCAUUACUAGGUAUGUACCCAAAGGAACAUAUAUCAUUCUACAAAAAAGACACAUGCACUUGCAUGUUUUUUGCAGCACUAUUCACAAAAGGAAAGACAUGGAAUCAACCUAGAUGUGUAUCAGUGGUGGACUGGAUAAAGAAAAUGUGGUACAUAUAUACUAUGGAAUACUAUGCAGGCAUACAAAAUGAAAUCAUGUCUUUUGCAGCAACAUGGAUGCAGCCGGAGGCCAUUAUCCUAAGGAAUAGAAAACCAGGGCCGGAUGUGGUGGCUCACACCUGUAAUCCCAGCACUUUGGGAGGCUGAGGCAGGCAGAUCACAAGGUCAGGAAUUUGAGACCAGCCUGGCCAACAUAGUGAAACCUCAUCUCUACUAAAUACAAAAAAAUUAGCCGGGCGUGGUGGUGUGUGGUGGUAAUCCCACCUACUUGUGAGGUUGAAGUGGGAGAAUCGCUUGAACCUGGGAGGUGGAGGUUGCGGUGAGCCGAGAUCGCGCCACUGCACCCAGCCAGGGCGACAGUGCAAGAGUCCGACUCAAAAAAAAAAAAAAAAGAAAAGAAAAUGAAACCAAAUACCACAUGUUCUCACUUAUAAACGUGAACUAAACAUCAAGUACAUGUGGAGAUAAAGAUGGGAGCAACGGACACUGGGGACUGCUGGGGUCGGGGAGUGUUAGAGGGGGUGCUGAGGAACUGCCUAUGGGUGCUGUGCUCACUGCCUGGGUGACCAGAUCAUUCAUACUUCAAACCUCAGCAUCCCACAGUGUUCCCAUGUGACAGACCUGCACACGUAUCUCCUGAAUCUAAAAUAAAAGUUGAAAUUGCUUUUAAAAAAAGACUUGGCUGAAAUAUCUCCUCUUUAAUAAGGUCCACUGGGACUACCCUAUUCCUACUGUCCCUUGCUGUCCCACUCACUUA